GGGCCUGUAGCUCAAUUGGUCAGAGCCGGCGGCUCAUAACCGCUUGGUUGGGGGUUCGAGUCCCUCCAGGCCCACCA
rnacentral:tRNA from 2 species